rnacentral:rRNA from 1 species
AAGAAGCACCGGCUAACUCUGUGCCAGCAGCCGCGGUAAUACAGAGGGUGCAAGCGUUAAUCGGAAUUACUGGGCGUAAAGGGCGCGUAGGUGGUUGGAUAAGUCGGAUGUGAAAUCCCCGGGCUCAACCUGGGAACUGCAUUCGAAACUGUCUGACUAGAGUUUGGUAGAGGGAAGUGGAAUUCCACAUGUAGCGGUGAAAUGCGUAGAUAUGUGGAGGAACAUCAGUGGCGAAGGCGGCUUCCUGGACUAAAACUGACACUGAGGCGCGAAAGCGUGGGGAGCAAACAGGAUUAGAUACCCUGGUAGUCCACGCUGUAAACGAUGAGAACUAGACGUUGGAAGGUUUAACCUUUUAGUGUCGCAGCUAACGCACUAAGUU